CUUAAAAAAAUGAAAUAUUUAUAGACAUUAAUAUGUAGGCUUUUGGUGGGCAUGUUGUGAGUUUCAUUUCUGCCCAUAAAGGACCUACAAACACUG